AAAAGUGAGCCCUGGCUGGUGUGGCUCAGUGGUUGGGUGUCGUCCUUGCAUCAAGAGGUCACUGGUUUGAUUCCAGGUCAGGGCACAUGCCCAGGUUGUGUGCUCAAUCCCCAGUAGGGGGUGUGCAGGAGGCAGCAGAUCAAUGUUUCUCUCCCUCUCUCAAAUCAAUAAAAAACUUUUUU